rnacentral:lncRNA from 1 species
CGUUUACUUUUCUACAUUGGUUAGAGGUAUAGGGGGAGGGUUGAGAUCUCACAAACAUGUUUAACCCCGCUGCAUUUUUGCGCCUGUCCCAAGUCAGGAGCCUCUGGCCUUUGUUAGUCUUGUAUUAUUUUAAUUUUAGUUUCUUGUGUACAAUUUGGAAAUUAGUAUGGCGUUCAUUAUCACUGGACUAGUAUAUAUUUGUUUAGGGGCCAGCUGAAGGACACCUCCGGGUGCGGGAAUUUCUCGCUACAUUGAAGACCUGUUGGUGACCCUCUGCUGUUGUUUUUUAUUUGGUCGGGUUGUUGUCUCCUUGACACAUUCCCCAUUUCCAUUCUCAAUUUUACAG